CGGGUAGUGCUUGUUCUGCUUGGGGGGCUUUAAGGAAGCAAAUGGACUUUCAGAACAGAGAUUGUCAAUAAAGAACCACCGAGCACGUCCCCUUUUAUUAAGGGGUGUUGGUGAGGAACAUGCCAGUCAACCAAAGGGAUCAAAGCAUGGGCCUUGGAAGGAGGAGAAAGAAGAGGAGAUAGGUCCUUUCCUCCUUCCAUGGAUCUCUUUGGGGAGUGGCACCUAAUCGUGGUAUAAUGGAGGCCCAGCUUAUACACGAUUAUGUAGACCAGUCAUGAACUCCAGAACUCCUCUGAGAAUGCCUCUGUGGCAUUGCCAGCAGCCGAUGUAGAUGUAGUAUCUUUGAGGCAAGUCAACAGCAGCCAAGCACUGAGGAAGAUAAGUGAAUUUCUCAGUGCCGAUCUGUCUAUCUGGUGUCCCGUCCUUCACAGAUCUAGUCAAGACUAUUGCUAUGUUGGAAUGUUGAGAGAUGUCACAUCAAUUCAAAGAAAGGUCUUUCCUUGUUGAAACUCUUGCCUAAUGAUAUCUUUAUUCAUGUGAAAAUACAGGAUGAUUUUCAACUAUAUGAUUAUGUUUAUGUUCAUCAGAAAUGUUAUUUGUCUCUACAGAGUUUGGUUUCAAUGAGCCAGCUAUGUAAUAGAUAUUAAAUAAGCAUGGAAUUUUAUACAUUCAGAAUAUUUGGUUUCUUGUUGUGAUUUUGAUGAACUACAUAUUCAAGCAUUGUUGGUUCAUCCUUAUUUACAAACUAAACAUUUGCUUGUAGCUAAGUAAUAUAGUGACUAGCUUAUUUUAAGAUAAGUCAACUUUUGUUUUCAAUGUUUAAUGUGAAACUGACAAAAAAUUGUUCUUUGAGGUCGCAUACAUAUUUCUCUUUCAAUCGCAUGCAUUCUGCUAUUUUUAACUUACUGCUGUGAGUUAUAUAAACUAAUAGAUGUUUUAUUUCUGUUUUAAUGUGUUUUUUCUAAGAUAAAUAAUUUAUAAUAUUCUAAGGAGA